GCCACAUGAUGUUUUAUAGAUUACAAUAGCAUUCUGUGCAAAGAUGACGUUCUACCUAUCACCCGAGACUGAUGGCA
ensembl:snoRNA SNORD83 Small nucleolar RNA SNORD83